CCGUACUAGACGGGGAGCCAGCGGUGCCCUAUAUCCGCAAUCCGCUAUAGCGGAGUUGAAUUCCUCCCCUCGGCUAGGCCAGAGGUCCCAUAUCGCGGGCGAUGAUAUAGAGGGUUGGGUCCCGCGCGACGUAGACUUGUGAACCCCGCCAGAUCCGGAAGGAAGCAACGGUAAACAG
rnacentral:SRP_RNA from 1 species